UACAGAGGUGGCAAGCGUUGUUCGGAAUUACUGGGCGUAAAGGGCGCGUAGGCGGCCUACUAAGUCAGACGUGAAAUCCCCCGGCUUAACCUGGGAACUGCGUCUGAUACUGGAAGGCUUGAGUAUGGGAGAGGGAUGUAGAAUUCCAGGUGUAGCGGUGAAAUGCGUAGAUAUCUGGAGGAGUACCGGUGGCGAAGGCGGCAUCCUGGACCAUUACUGACGCUGAGGCGCGAAAGCUAGGGGAGCAAACGGG
rnacentral:rRNA from 1 species